AGAUCACUGGCAGUUUUGACACUAAAAAGUCGAUCACAACCUGUUUGAAGUUGGACAUGCCUGGUAUAGAGUAUCCAUAAAAUGAUGAAUGAAGCUGCUGUAUUUUGAAUGAGCAACAUUUUAACUUAGCUCAUAAAUUAUGUUAAAUGUAUGUGCUGUGUGAGUGAAGUUAAAUUAAUCUUGAAUGUAACAAUCCAUCAACAUUCUUCAGGUAUUGGGAUAUUUUGAGAAUAUAAAUUUCUGUUCAGAACUGUGGGUUUUCUCUGUGGAAGUACAGGGAAAUUCCUACAAUAUAAAUCUCAGGGUGUACAUCUCUUAUUAGUCACUGGGUUAACAGAAAAUUACCAUGGAUAUUUUCAAGCAGAACUGACAUUUAGAAAUUGUUCUCUCGUAAUUAUGUUUGGAGCCCAUAUAACAUGAGUGUACAUUCAGAUGCAAGUGUCUCUUGUGGAGUCAGAUGAGUGGGUUAUGCAUGCACUGUAUUCAUAUUGUGCAUAUAUUCUGGACCCAUUGAAAACGUAGUAGAGUAAUUUGCAUUUUGAGAACUCAUUUGUAUUGUAACACAGUUUAUUAGCACAGCAAAUACACAUUUAAAUUCUGUAUGAAUUGUGUAAUUACAUGAUAUUUGAAGCUGGACAUGAAGGUAUUCAGUAGCCACUAUCUGGAUGCCACCAAACUUUGCACUAGUGAGAAUCCACAUAUGAUGGUUUCCAUCUAACACAGGUGUGUCAUGUAUGUUCCACCACUUCUGUGAAUGGUGAUCAUACACAUUCAUCACGUUAUUCUUAUUAGAAGUGAACAGGAAGAUGCUCCAUUGUGAGUUACCUAAAAGGAAUUCCUUUACUUACAUCGUAAUGAGUUUAUUUUAGAUCUAAGGUUCUUGAAUCGUUAUCUCCAUCGGCCUCAACAAGGACUUCAAGCCCCAAGUUGUAACAGGAGUAUCAGCAUCACCACAACAACACAACGUAUUAUUUCACAAAAAUAAAGUAAGCUGGCUGCCACCUACCCGGUCAAGAAUGGGGACAUUAAACAAGAAGAAAAUGUUCAUAAUAUGCGUGAAAAGUCAGGUAAAAAUAACUUAUUCUAUGCUGCGGGCUACCAUGGGAGGUAUCCAUUAUACCGUUGUUUGUGGGGCUUUUUUUGCUUAAAGUACUUUUAAACUGAACAAAAUUAAAUUGAUAAAAACGUAUCACCUAAGUACGUCAUCUGCACGUAGCUGAUGACUAACAGUUUCCCCCCCACCAUUAAUACAGUUAAUGCAGAACCCGACAGGAUUGGAAUAUACCAUGUUGUGAAGGUCGAUAUUACGCCGCUGUACCAGCUGACAAAACUUGCGAUACUGAAAAUGAAUAGAUGGAAUUUUGGACACUUUCCUUUCCUCUGUAUAAUUCAGGUUUUGGGGUGCAAUUCAUGUAAAGCGGAAAUGUUUUUAUUGAAAAUUGGAACAUGAGAUGUUUGGCCUAUUGUAUGUGAAAAAUAAACUUUAAGUUGUAAUUGUGUAGUUUCAGUGUCUUGAAAUAUAUUUAUUUGGAUUUUAAUGAGUGUACUUUAUUUCUUUUCAGAAUGUCAACUUCAUAUUGGUGAAUGUGCUAACAGUCCUUAAGGUUCCGUGGACUUCUACUGCUGGUUAGAUUGGGCCAUUCUAAGAGGUUAGGACAGCUGUGCAAUCAUGACAUGUCUGGUCUAAGAGGUACUGGAACCACAUUCACAAGCAGAUCAGUUUGGUACAUCAACCUUUGGAUGGUCACAGGUGUGAUAACUGGUUGUCAUCCUUGCAGCUUCCGUUUCUCAUACAAGACUGCUAUUUCAUACAUGUGAAUGAAAUGAUAUUUCAGUAAUGCUUCAUGCGAACAAUUUAUGUUUACUGUGUAUGUUUGUAGACAUUUUAUGACUGUCUUGUAUUUAUACAUUUUUCACUUUUUAAUUAAACAGCUGCAAAGUAUCCGAAAUAGAAAGUAUCUUUGAAAAUUUCACUCUCCUUAUCAACUACCAUGAUGUCAUAAAUAGAAAAGAUAGCCAUCUCUGGAGGUAUGUAGUUCUACAUGUUCAUCUUGCACCAGAUGGAGGUGUACAGUCAGCUUCAUAUAUUUGCUUUGCUCUCAUGGGAGGACCCACAGCUUACCAUAGAAUGAGAGUCAUAAGAGGGUCCCAGUGCCAGUUGGAAGCAGUAGCAGAAAGCAAAAUUCUCUUCUCUACCAACAAUGAAACCCUGGUUGGUCAGUCUGUAGCCUCGUCACUGUACUGACACCUGUUGUCUGAAACAUCCUUGAGGGUGUGGCAUCAUUUGGUAACUAGUUUAUUUGCAUCAUCAUCAUCAUCAGAAAGUUACCACACUUUUGUUUGCCCUGUUUUAUUUGUAGCCUACAGUAGGAACCAAAGUCAUCACACUGGAGAUUGCAUUCAAUUCACCAACUUUUCAUCCGUAAGGUUGCAUGCUGAAAGCUUCAUGCACACCCAGAGGCGUUUUAGUUUAAGUAUACCUCCAUGUCAGGAGUAGGAAGUUUUCUAAAUUGAACACUUGCAGCGGUGAUAAUGAAGUAGAGGUGAAUUGUUCCUUGGAUGCAAAAUACAGGGGGAGCUGGUAGAAGAAUAUUAAAGAAAAUGGAGGGAGCACUCAGAAAGAACGCACGAAUGAAACUUGUAGACUACAUAUGUAACUAGAAGCAAUUCAGACAGGUAGUUUAUCAGUGAUAAUCAA